UCCAAGUCGGGAGUGACAAUGGAGCUGAUUAUUGGGCUCCGGCAUCAUUCUAAGGUGGCGCCAGAGGCCCGGAUCUAAGUACGUACAGCACAAGAUCCUAGCUAGCUAGAGGAAGGAGAUGAUAUAACAUCAUGAGCAGUCACUCUGCUGAAAUUUUAAGGCUGAUUGCUCAUGAUGCUAUGCAUUGCCGCAAUUGUGUUUCUAAAUCAAUUUUUCUUUUUAAUUAUGUGUGUUAACUAGCCAGCUCCUUAAAUUCAAAUUCAUGUUGCAGCUUCAUGUCUUGAUAAUUC
rnacentral:lncRNA from 1 species